ACUGUAUUUACCCCAUAU
rnacentral:tRNA from 1 species